rnacentral:rRNA from 1 species
UACGUAGGUGGCAAGCGUUAAUCGGAAUUACUGGGCGUAAAGCGCACGCAGGCGGUUUGUUAAGUCAGAUGUGAAAUCCCCGGGCUCAACCUGGGAACUGCAUUUGAAACUGGCAAGCUAGAGUCUCGUAGAGGGGGGUAGAAUUCCAGGUGUAGCGGUGAAAUGCGUAGAGAUCUGGAGGAAUACCGGUGGCGAAGGCGGCUCUCUGGUCUGUAACUGACGCUGAGGCUCGAAAGCGUGGGGAGCAAACAGG